rnacentral:rRNA from 1 species
UUAAAUUUUUGCUUUUUUAUUAAUAAAACAAAAUAUUGUAAAAAUUUGUAAUUAGGUUAAGUAUAGUUAUUAGAAAUAUGAAUUAAGAACUAUAGAGGAAGUACCGUGAGGGAAUAUUGAAAUAAUUUGAAAAAUUAAUGAAGAAAAAAGAAGGAGUAAAAUUCUGUACCUUUUGUAUAAUGGUAAAGUGAGGAAAUAGUCUAAAAAUUUAAGGUAACCCGAAAUUAAGUGAGCUAAUGUUUUCUACUUUUAGAGAUGGACUUUUACUGUUGCAGUAGUAAUGUUUGAGUAAACAUUAGUUGUUAAAUGCUAAUCGUACUUAAUAGUAGCUGGUUUCUCGAGAAAUUAGUCUUAGCUAAGAAUACAAAGUAUAUUGAUAGUAUAAAUCAUUUUAGAUAAGAAAAAGCUAAAAAAUAGUAUUGUAUUUUUAGACAAAUAAGGAUAAGCUUAUUUGUCAAAUAGGAAAAAACCUUAAUUAUAAAUAAAGGUUAAUUUUAAUACAAAAUGUAAUUAUUAAAAUAGUCUGUUGUAGGAUUAAUGGCAUCCAUCAUUAUAGAAAGCGUUAAAGCUCUGACUUAAUUUAGGAUAUUACAAAAAAUUUGAAUAAGGUUAACCCGUAUUAUAAUCGUUUUUAUCGAGAGAUUUCGUUUUAAUACAGAAAUUAUCGUAAAAUAAAAUGCUUUAAUUAGUAAUGAAUUUUGGAUUGGUUGGAGAAUAAUCUAUAAUCCUAACUGUAGGAUGGGAAAAUAUUUAUAAAAUCAGGAAAUUGUUUUUAAAAAAUUGUCUACCAACACAGGUAAUCUAAAUAAUAUAAAAUUAAAAGGAAGGAAUUCGGCAAAAUUGUGACUUCGCCUGUUUACCAAAAACAUCGCUCUUUGAUAAAUUUUUAUGAUAUAUAAAGAGUUCUGCCUGCCCAGUGACUUAUAGGUUAAACGGCCGCGGUAUUUUGACCGUGCGAAGGUAGCAUAAUCAUUUGCCUUUUAAAUGGAGGCUGGUAUGAAUGGCAAGACGGAAGUCAAACUGUCUCUCUUUUAAUAAUCUUGAAAUUAAUAUUCUCGUGAAGAAGCGAGAAUAGAGUCGUAGGACGAGAAGACCCUAUCGAGUUUUAGUAUAGGUUAUUAGGUAUUUUAGAUACUUGUAGAAGCUGAUUAAUAUUUUUUAAGCCUAAAAUAAUUUCACUUUAAAUAAGUAUAAUGCUUUAAAACUGAUACUUUAAUUGGGGCAAUUGCGGAGAAAAUUAAUCCUCCGCUGUGAAAUAAAAUUUGAAAAUUACAAUUUUAUUAUGAAUAUAUUACAUAAUUGAUCCACUUUAUGAGUGAGCAAAGGAAUAAAUUACCGUAGGGAUAACAGCGUUAUUUUUUUGAAGAGUUCAUAUUGAUAAAAAAGUUUGCGACCUCGAUGUUGGAUCGGGACUUCCUGAAAAUGCAACAGUUUUCAAGGGUUGGUCUGUUCGACCAUUAAAGUCCUACGUGAUCUGAGUUCAGACCGGCGUGAGCCAGGUCAGCUUUUAUCUACGAUUUAAGAUAUUUUAUUUUCCUUAGUACGAAAGGACCAGGAAAAUAAUGCCAAUUUUUAAAAGAAAGCAUUUUUGUAAAAUUUCUGUUUUCAAAUAAAGAUAGUGACUGCUUAAUGCUCUUAGGGCAC